GAAAAGAACAGAAAAAAAAAACCCUAGGUCUCUCUCUUCUUCCUCCCGUCGGUUUCUGCCGCACACACAGAAAUAAAAGAAAAGGAUCUGCAUUGGAGGAGGAUAAGUGGUGAUUGUUUACACAAAUAUAAUAGGAGUUUCAAGUGGCUUCGAGGAGGCGUCGUGACUAGUAUUUUGAUAGCUUUCGGACUUGAUAGACUCGGGAUUAGGUGGAAUUGAGGAUUGUCAAAUUCUUAGAACGAAGCAAAGAAUAAUUCGAGAUUGUUAUUGUCUUCUAGGCGAAGGUUAAAUAAAGUCUUUAAUGUUUAGAUGAUGAAUUGAGAGUUUGUAAUAAUGAGAUUCUUUCUUUAGGUUGAGAUUUAUUUGGAGUUGA